GAUGAAGAACGUGGCGAAAUGCGAUACGUAAUGUGAAUUGCAGAAUUCAGUGAAUCAUCGAAUCUUUGAACGCAUAUUGCGCUCUUUGGUAUUCCGAAGAGCAUGCUUGUUUGAGUAUCAGUAAACACCUCAAAAGACUUUCAUUUUUGAAAUGAUUUUGGACUUGAGCAAUCCCAACACCAGUCUUCACGGAUCGGCGGAGGGUUGCUUGAAAUGCAGGUGCAGCUGGACAUUCUCCUGAGCUAAAAGCAUAUCUAUUUAGUCCCGUCAAACGGAUUAUUACUUUUGCUGCAGCUAACAUAAAGGGAGUUUGACCAUUUUGGCUGACUGAUGCAGGAUUUCACAAGGGUCGGUAAAACGAUUUUUGUAAAACUCGAUCUCAAAUCAAGUAAGACUACCCGCUGAACUUAAGCAUAUCAAUAAGCGGAGGA
rnacentral:misc_RNA from 1 species